AACUAACGCUGGCGGCGCGCCUAAUACAUGCAAGUCGAACGCCCCGCAAGGGGAGCGGCGGACGGGUGAGUAACGCGUGGGAAUCUACCCAUCUCUACGGAAUAACGCGUGGAAACGUGUGCUAAUACCGUAUACGUCCUUCGGGAGAAAGAUUUAUCGGAGAUGGAUGAGCCCGCGUUGGAUUAGCUAGUUGGUGGGGUAAAGGCCUACCAAGGCGACGAUCCAUAGCUGGUCUGAGAGGAUGAUCAGCCACACUGGGACUGAGACACGGCCCAGACUCCUACGGGAGGCAGCAGUGGGGAAUAUUGGACAGUGGGCGCAAGCCUGAUCCAGCCAUGCCGCGUGAGUGAUGAAGGCCCUAGGGUUGUAAAGCUCUUUCACCGGUGAAGAUAAUGACGGUAACCGGAGAAGAAGCCCCGGCUAACUUCGUGCCAGCCGCCGCAGUAAGAC
rnacentral:rRNA from 1 species